rnacentral:rRNA from 1 species
UACGUAGGGUGCAAGCGUUGUCCGGAAUUAUUGGGCGUAAAGAGCUCGUAGGCGGUCUGUCGCGUCGGCUGUGAAAACCCGGAGCUCAACUCCGGGCCUGCAGUCGAUACGGGCAAACUAGAGUACUGCAGGGGAGACUGGAAUUCCUGGUGUAGCGGUGAAAUGCGCAGAUAUCAGGAGGAACACCGGUGGCGAAGGCGGGUCUCUGGGCAGUAACUGACGCUGAGGCACGAAAGCGUGGGGAGCAAACAGG